rnacentral:lncRNA from 1 species
AUGAACCUCCUCACUGCCCCAGAACUUGGACUCAAGAUUACAUCUAGGGUUCCAGGCUUCAUAUAUGGGAAGAAAAAGGACAACACGAUUACAAAGACCAGGAGUCACACUUGGUUAGAGAAGCUAGCCAGAACCCAGGGUAUCUGCUCAUCUGAGGUUAGUCAUCCACAGAAAACCUGUGCAGAAACAAGAGGAGAACCUGAGAAAUGCUGACUGGAAAGAUGCAAGGGCCACCUGGAUGCCUAUAGCAUGAACCAACCUGAGAGGUGGGUAAAAACACAUGUCCUAGGGAGCUAUUGAAAAACUCACUGAAAUGGUGUGAUAGCAAAAUGCAAAUGGGUCCUUUGGGGGUCUAGAGAAAAAUAAGAAGGGCACUGUAUAGAACAGAGAGUGCCCAAUCCAAGGCACAAGAACAUCCUGGUUCACUGACAUGAUUUGCCAUUGCUGAAGGAUGUGCUCAAAUAAUCAGGGCUUAAUGGCAUCAUGCUUAAAAUAAUCCAACUCCCACAGCUUAGACUCAGCAUUUACUAGUUUUAUGAGUCUUUUGCCUCCUUUCCCCCUAUUAGAUUCUCCCUGGUAUCUUGGGAUCAAACUUACCCAUGUAAAUGAUUUAUUCCCCUUACUCCUCCUUAGUAAUCAGUAAACACCUAGAAGGCAGGCACAAUUUUAUUUUUACUUUGGUGUGAACAAAAUUCACUUCUAUACCUUACUUGCAAUGGGCACUUAAAUGUGGCUGACCUGAAUUGAGAACCUUCCCACCAUAUUAUCUCCGUCUUCUAAAACACAGUAACUUCACUGGCAUAUCUGCCUCCAGAAUUUCUCUGUCUUAAUAUUCUUUAUGAUAAUACAUGUAUAACCCAGAUCAAAUUGGCUGCCAGCAUCAGGAGGAGGAGGAACAAAAGGGAAAGAGGGAGAUAAGAUCAAUCAUAUAACUUAAGAAAACUUGUGUGGAAAUCUGUUGUUACUAAUUAGUAAAAAAAAUAGUGAAUUAAUAUGUAUUAGGCCAGUGUUGGCAAAUCUUUUAGAGAUCCUGUGCCCAAACUGUACCUUUAAACCACCUGUGAGCCCCUCACAUUAUUGCAAAGAGUGUGGAGGGAGGAAGUCCUUGUACUGAUCUGUUGGGACAGAGGGACAGAACAUGUGAAAAUUGUCCUCAGGUGUGGUGGAGAGGGAGAACAGAGCAGCCCCCUCCAGCACACCAGGGCAUGUGUGC